GGUCAGCUGGUGAAGCGGUCUAACACAUCGCCCUCUCAAGGCGACAUUCGCGGGUUCGAACCCCGUGCUGACUA
rnacentral:tRNA from 1 species